AUCAAACUCAGAACCUUGCAUUUGGCAGGCAGGUGCAACACCACUGAGCUACAUCCCCAGCCAGGUUUUUCUUGAUUGUUUGAACACGGUUUCUGGGGUUGUUUUUGAUGUUUUGUUCUGUUCUGUUCUUGUUUUUGUUUCUUCCUUUCUCAUUCUCGCUUGUCUUCUUCACCAUUUUCCCAAAGUCUGUACGAUCUUCCUUGGUCCUCCAGCCUUGCUUCUAAUCUCUUCCUCUUCUUCUAUCUCUCUGUCUUUCCCCCCAACCUCUCUUAAAUCUUCUCCCCUAAGGGUAAAAUCGAUAUUAAGGGCUAAUUUAUUGCAUACAAUUUUCUGGUUUAUUUUAGAUUUUAUUAUAUAACCACAAAUCCAGUUCAUAUGGUUAAAGGUUGCAAAUUAAUACUUACCACAAUUUGUCAUUUUCUAGGUUAUAUUUGAUAUAUAUAUAUAUAUAUGCUGAUUGUACUACUCUAGCCAAGGUGACAUAAUUGUGCUAAUCAGUUCUUCUUCCUGGUUUACUGAGACUGAGAUUGCCUAAGGGUCUUAAAAAAAAAAUUACAGGCCAGUGUUAAAGAACCGGCUGGGCCAAGUAGUCAGAAACCUCAUCCCAAAUAAAUUGAAGAGGUAGGAUCUUGCAACAGACUGAAAACCCAAAAGCCAGCAACACCCAGAAGACACCUUUGAGAAGUAGUCACUCCCUAAAGGUUUUCAAUAUUGGCAUUAAAGCUACUCAGCAUAAGCAGUUUGCAAUCAUCAACCCAGGAAUUAAACUUAAAAAAAAGAAAACGAGAAGACACCUAAACAACAUGCAACCCCCCCAGACUUCCAGCUCACCAAAGGCAAACCCAGGCUGCAAUGAGGUGAAACAAUCCGAAUACCACCUACCUGGAUUCUCUGAAGUGCUAACAGCAGAAGUAACAAAGCAAAUGAAUGAGGCUCUAGAAAAGAAAUCAAAGCAGAAAUAAUUUCUCAGGUGACUACAGAGAUGUGACCAGAAUGAAAGAUUUGCUUAGAGACUCUAGAGCAGGUACAGAUUUAUUUUAAAAAGUAGAGGAGCUCAGGAAAGUGAUGGAAACCAUGAACACCCAGUAUAGGAAAGAAAUGGAAACCGUGAACUCCCAGCAUAGGAAAGAAAUUGAAUCCAUGAAACAGAUUCAAACAGAUAUCCAGAAGAUGAAAAACUCCAUUGAAACUAAAUCCCUGGCCCUCUGGUAUCAGCUUUUACUAUUUAGUGAAAUGAUCAAAAAUCAGCAAACAGGAAUCAAGGAGAGAAGAGACCAAUAAUUAGCUUUGAGUGAUUAAAAACUGGUAGUGCUACAGUUUAUGACUUGUGUUUCUCUUAAGAAUGAGGAAAGCAACUAUUUUUAAAUCAGUUUUGUAUGAGACUAAAAGUAACUAUAAUUAAAAGAAUAUGUUGCUCUAAGCAUUUGUGGAAGUAUGUGUUUUACCUUUUUUUUUUUUUUUUUUUUGGUACCAGGGAUUGAACUCGGGACCUUGUGCUUGUGAGGCAGGCGGCAGAACUACUGAGCUAAAUCCCUGGCCCUAGUUGUGGAAGUAAAUUUAUAAUAAUGUCUAACUCAUAGGUAGCAAGAUAAUGUUUGUCAUAGUUUUUCCCUUCUGUCACAAAACUGAUCAGUGAUUUGUUACCUGUUCAUUAAUUAUAGACCCGACACAUUUCCUAACAUAAGUAUACAAUAACAGGAGGGAGGGGCUGGGGAUUUAGCUCAGAGGUUCUGGUGUCUGCCUCGAAAGCACAAGGUCCCGAGUUCUAUCCCCAGUACCAAAAAAAAAAAAAAGAAAGAAAGAAAUAACAGGAGAGAGAAACCUGUAGGCAAACCUUUCUCUGAGAGUGAAAGAUCAUCUCUCUUCCUGCCCUUUUAAAAUUUUAUAUUUGAGACAGGGCCUCGCUAACUUGCUGUGUUGUCCAGGGUAUUACUAAUUUGCCCAGGAUGGCUUUUAGAUUGUGACCCUCUUGCCUCAGCCUCCCAUUAAUUGAGAUGACAGUUGUGCAUCAUCAGGCACAACUAUAGAAGACUUUUUGCUCCCAAGUGUACAAAUCCCAGAAUUAGCCUGUUAUCAUUUUGCUUUUAUUCUUUCGUUCUCUAAAAUCACACAGCAAACUGGCUAUCAGCUCCUUGGAUUUUAGGAUAGGUGAUAUUUUGAAGGCUCUUGAUGCUUAAGCCAGG
rnacentral:lncRNA from 1 species